CCUACGGGAGGCAGCAGUGGGGAAUAUUGCACAAUGGGCGCAAGCCUGAUGCAGCGACGCCGCGUGAGGGAUGACGGCCUUCGGGUUGUAAACCUCUUUCAGUAGGGAAGAAGCGAAAGUGACGGUACCUGCAGAAGAAGCGCCGGCUAACUACGUGCCAGCAGCCGCGGUAAUACGUAGGGCGCAAGCGUUAUCCGGAAUUAUUGGGCGUAAAGAGCUCGUAGGCGGUUUGUCGCGUCUGCCGUGAAAGUCCGGGGCUCAACUCCGGAUCUGCGGUGGGUACGGGCAGACUAGAGUGAUGUAGGGGAGACUGGAAUUCCUGGUGUAGCGGUGAAAUGCGCAGAUAUCAGGAGGAACACCGAUGGCGAAGGCAGGUCUCUGGGCAUUAACUGACGCUGAGGAGCGAAAGCAUGGGGAGCGAACAGGAUUAGAUACCCUGGUAGUCCAUGCCGUAAACGUUGGGCACUAGGUGUGGGGGACAUUCCACGUUUUCCGCGCCGUAGCUAACGCAUUAAGUGCCCGCCUGGGGAGUACGGCCGCGAGACGUAAACUACAAUUAGAGUAGUUAGCGUGNGAGNGCGACGGACGACGACGAGGAGGAGG
rnacentral:rRNA from 1 species